rnacentral:lncRNA from 1 species
CAUAGAAAAGCUACUUAGUAUCCUGUGCCAACUUCGCGGAGAAUCCCUGCAAUGUUUCUUCGGUUGACCUAGACUACGCGAGUGCGUGUUGGUGCGACCCCCCGGUGGGGGGGGGGGGACUGGGGGAGGAUGCACGGCGUGAGAGGACGUGGACUUGGAUUUGGAGCCGUUCACUCUUGAGCUGAGUUUAGUUUGCUCUCCGGGACCGCCGCCGCCGCGCCGUGUCUGUGAAUCUGUGAUCCGCUCUCGAGUGCUCUGCGUGUUUCCCUCGAAACCGCGUGCUCGCCCUGCAUACCCUUUCAACCACCAGCUCCGCCCGGCCAGUACUCCCAGAUCCUGCGCGCGCGGUUCCGGUCGUUUUCGCGGAAGGACUUGCGAGCUGCGUUUCCGGCGUGGAGCGGAAAUUGAGGGAGCCAGCGGACGAUGGAGGCUCGCCGAGUAGGGGUCCUCCGUCGGGGACGCAGCGCCUGAUGUGACAUUUCACGCGUUCCCCGCCUCCCACCUGCCCGCCCGCUCACCGCUCUGAGCAGUUCUUUCCAGAUCAAACGCCUCCGCUCGCCUCCCAAACGGUAAGUGCUUCCAAACCAUAUCCAAUUAUACAAUUAACCCUCUCGCACCAUAAUUGGACCGAUUAUUUUACAAAUGAAGAGAGGAAAUCCAAAACCUGGUAACCCGACCAUCAAUGUUGCUAAGAUUAGACAAUUGUUACUCUUAUUAUCAGGGAUCUAAAACCUGAGGAUGGACAUUUUAAUUUUAAAAUAAGACCAAGAUUUAGAGAACUUUUAAUGCCUUUGGCUGGCUAAGCUGCAUGGAACAGCAUAAUUGAUCAUAAAAUCGAGCUACAAGCUAAAAUAAAACGAGUAUAUAUUUCAAACUACAUGUAGAUGAGAAAAUAUAUUAAACUUACAAAAAACAAGGCAAACGCACUGAAGAAGAUCGCAGUUUAUAGGCGGUCAAAACGUUUCUGUGUUUCUUGUAAGUUUUAUAUAUUUUCUCAUCUACGUGUAGUUUGAAAAAUUAUACUUGUUUUAUUUUCACUUGUAGUUCGAUUAUUUAAUCAAUUACGAUAUUUAGAGAGCAUUUGGCUAUAAAAUGCAAUAAAGCGGAGGAAUUCAAGUUUAUAAUCUCAAUGAGGACCAACGUGUACCAUCUUAGCAACACAUGAUGCCGCUUAUCAGAUUUUGGAUUCCCCCGCAUUACUCGUCAGAGGUUCAAACACAAUUCGCGUAUUGAAAAUUACUGAAAUUGACCCUAACCAUGAUAUUAACGUCUUAAGCAAAUAUGAAGCAUUUAAAGUUCCCACUCACAAGAAAGACAGGAGUCUACUUAAAUCAAAUCACGCAAUACAAUCGCUUGAUAUGAUCAGCGAGACGUUGAUCCGGCGCGCCUUCAAUGUGCACGAUACAUCACGUCUUACCUAGAAGUUCGUUUAGUUGCUUAACCCAACGUAACCUAAGUCUCGAACAGAAUCUACGCUAAUAAUAUCUCUUCUCGGCGUCGUUUGAAUAAAAAGCCUCCUUUUUGCUAUUUUUUUGCCUCCUGCAUAGGAUGCGAUCAAUCCCUUCAUCAAUAUGGGUACCUCUUUAAUUACCAUGACCAGUCUAGUCUACUAACUCUGUACUAUAAUGGAAGUGGAUGCAAUUUUCAACUCAUCGACAGUAAUGCCAUUAUUGCUUUCCUGCGAAUAUCCCCUCGACAUCCUUCAGCCGCAUAUCUGUCAUGUAGAAUGCAUAAAAUCGCCUUCUAAAGAUAUAUGUUAAAAAGUAAAAAACAAAAUUAGAAACUAAAAUUA